rnacentral:rRNA from 1 species
UACGGAGGGGGCAAGCGUUAUUCGGAAUCAUUGGGCGUAAAGGGCGUGUAGGCGGCCUAGCAAGUCUUCUGUGAAAGCCCUCGGCUCAACCGAGGAACUGCAGGGGAAACUGCUGGGCUCGAGUCCGGGAGAGGAGAGCGGAAUUCCCAGUGUAGCGGUGAAAUGCGUAGAUAUUGGGAGGAACACCGGUGGCGAAGGCGGCUCUCUGGACCGGUACUGACGCUGAGACGCGAAAGCUAGGGGAGCAAACAGG